UAACCGGGGUGCUUCAUCCAAAUUAACUUUGUUCACUUUUACUUGAGUUAAAUAUAUGUUAACAUUGCUUAAUCACUAUUUACAUCCAACUACAAUAGUAAAGAAGUUGAUAAUAAUAAUGAUAAUAAUUUGUUGAUGAUCUUAGCCUCUCAGGUGUCGAUUGAUCUUGAAUGAAUCGCCGAUCCAUUGUUGCGUUGAAGGUAUACUGCAUUUUCUGAGCUAGUGCCAUUACCUGGCUGUGGGCACAACUCCAUUGUUGAAGGUCGAUAACAUUUGCCAAGAAAAAAUUACCAGUAAUCUUACAAUAGAUAUUUCCAUUACAUUCUCUGGCCCUUUUGCUACUUUCACGUCCACUGCAUCUGCAACUUUGAAGUCCGAAGUCCCUAAAGAGUAUAGUCCUCUUUGUCUGCCUUCCAAAGAUGUCUUGCAUUGGGAUUGUUGCUCGGAAAGAUGGAUAUAGCUUUUACUGUUGUCAACUUCUUUGUAUUGGAAGAGGACAUGUUACGCUUGUACUAUAGGAAAUUAGACAAGAAAUUCCAAUAUGGGAGGAGGGAGUUUGCUGAACUUGUUGCUAUUGUCAAUGCUAAUGACAACAGCCACAUGGUAGGCAUGGAUAUAGGCGAAUCUUCUAUUUGUGACAUUCUGUCCAAGUUAUUAUUAAAAAAGAAUAUCCGUUACCUCAGAAAGAAGGAUGAGAGAAAAGCAAACAAGAAUGUUAAUGUGAAACAAGAGCUUGAACCGUCUCGAAAUGAGAAGAACAAAGCUGCUGCAGAAUAUGGUAAACAGUUGCCCUCUUCUCAACUUAUUUGCAAGAAGGUAUCUGGGUCUGUACCAAACAAGAAUAGCCGUUGCCCCGUGAAGGAACUUAAGAAUGUCGAGUCUCAAAAAGAAUGAAGCAGCUGGCUUCAGAAUAAUCAAGCUGCUACCCCUUUUGAUAGUGGAGAUAAUGAAAUGGUGAAGUUGGAAGCUGUGUUGCUUAAUUGUUGCUGUAUUCAAUCUGUUAUCCUCAUACUAGUAUCUCCCUUAUCCUAACCUUUUAGUCCCCCGCUAAUCUAUUCUUAUUUCAUUAGCAGUAGGCUGGGAAUUAAACUUUUACUAGCCUCAUUUUGAUGUUUGAAAAUAAAAAUCUUGAAAGUCUGAUACAGUAAAACAUCCUAGAAGGCCUCAAUUCAAAACAUUAAAGGUCGGCGAACAACAAGUGUUUUUGAUCUUGUUUAUGUCACAGCUUGUAUUUGAAAGAGGAUUGCAUAUGCCGUAGAUUGUUAGUGUUCUUUUAGCU